ensembl:lncRNA
AACUGAGUAGGUCCUCCCUACAAUGCUAUCAGGUAUAGAUUAUAUUUAAUCCUCUUUUUCACAGAUGAGAAAAUCGAAACGUAGAGAGCCUGAGUAACAGCCAACCCAGAGUCAUCCUAGAUCCAGGCAGCCUGCAAUCAGGAACUAGACGUGGGAGAUGCCUGGAAGCAUGCCUAGCCACCAGCAUAGUCUGUAGAGGUUGGCAGAUGAAGUUGGAAACCAUCAUUCUCAGGCGACAGUAUUCUUAAAGCUAUAUGCCCCAUCAACAGGAUUUUACUUGCCAGCACACAUCCUGAAUGUUGAACCAUUUAGAAAUCAUCCAUUCAUAACUUGGAAAGCAAAUAAGGUCAGAACAUUUUCAGAGUACAAAUAAAUUAGACUACCACCUUCCUCACCAUCGUCAUCUCUGCUGAACUGCUGAAUGAAUUUAAAUUAAUCUCUGUCAGUUUUAACCCAUAGCAGAUAUGACCCUUAGACUUUUCUUCAAUAAAAGUCAGUUGCAGCAAAAUAACUUUGCUUCAUUAGUAAACAGCCAUAACUUGAGCAACAUCUAGCUGUUAGUUAAUAAGCAAUGACUCUUCCUAGAGGUAUCCGGAGUACAAAUCAUAAAAAAUUGCAACCAUUGUCA